UUCUGUGAAGAAUGACAGAGACCAUCACUUCCUCAAUGUAGCCCAUGUCUCCACUUGUGCUAAUUGCAAAAGGCCCCUGGAUUUCUAGACUUAUAAGGUGCUUUAGUAAAUAAUCUAGAAUCAGGUCACUCACUUCCUUCAGACACUCUUUCCUCUAGGCAUUGGAGAGAUCCCGCUCAUUCAGAUGUGGCACAUUACUCCCUGGCUUAAACCCCUUCAAUGGCUCCUUGUUGUUUAUAUAAAACCUGAAUCCUGUGGCCCCAGCAGCAUGACCUGAACAUUGUGGCCCCUGCACACCCCCAUAGCCCAUCUCAUACCCCCUCCUCCUUCUGUUGGGACUCUGGCCUCACUCACUUCUCUGUCCUAGGAAACCCUGAGCCCCUGUCCCUUCCAUAGCCUCCACGGUACAAGGCAUGUUUGGGCAUGUCAGGGUGUGGCAAAGGUGGGAAGGGUAGUUUCGUGGGAGGGGCAGUUUACAGAAUGGGUAGCCAGGAGUAAAAGAGGACUCUUUCCAAAUAAGGAAGAGAUGUGAGUUACAGAUUGGGACUGGUGGGAGAAGUUGUUUAUAGAGCAGGUAGCUUAGUAGAAGGGGAAAGGAAGUUGAUCUCGAGAACAAAGAAUGAGGAAGUCAGAAAGUAAACCUUUGAAGAGGAACUUACUGUGUCUGAUAGAUUCACUGGAAAUAUAGAGAACCCUGGAAAGGAGAAGAAGAAGGUGCUGGCUGAGGUGAAAAAAGAGAAUCAAUCAACUUUGGGCUUCUUCAAUUCUAAGGGUAUUUGAGAAGUCAAGAAAGAGAUAAAAAUAUGAGUGUCAACUUUCAAGGACAGAUGUAGAAAAAAUGCCAAUGAAUUUCCUGUUAUAAAGCCGUUGAUAAUUAACUCAAGAGGUUAGACGGGAGAAGUGGGUGGUAGCAAAGGAAGAGAGAACCAAGAAGGGAAUUCAGGAAUCAGAAAUGUGGAAGGGGAGAGGGUAAGGAUGGGCCACAUUAUAAGAAAGGCUGAAGGAGGAGCCAAUAAAAGUGUUGGACAGGAGCCAGCGGGAAGGUCAGGUUUGUUGUUUGUUUGCUUUUGCUUUUGUUCUUAAAGAAAUGGGAGCCUUUCCCAGAUUUGCAGCUGUCCUCCCUGGUCAUCUCCCUUCAUGGAGUGUGGGGUUCUUCUAUCAUUCAAGCUGAUUUGCAGUCAUAGUCAUUUGGAUACUGUGACCAGGGAUCUUGCCUAAGAGUCUGUCCUCCAAGCACUGAAUGCGCAUCUGCAGGGGAUCCUGACAAAUGACUCUGGAGUGUUUCACUUAUGAGCAAAAAGAGCAAAGAUGCUCAGUCUUUGAAGAUGGGAGGAAUUAAAACUUCAACUUGGUUUGAUCAGAGUCUGUCCUCAGCAGAUACAAGACAUCAGCCAGAAUGUGCUCUACCACAGCGUCCCAUCCCAUGUCACUCAGGGCGGGCUCCGGACUCACUCGCUUCUCUGUCCUGGGAAACCCUGAGCUCCUGUCUUUUCCACGUUCUCCACACCAGCUUCUCCUCUGCCUGUUUGGAGAAGAUGGGCUUCUACUUGGAGUCACAGUGAACCCAUGGGAUCCAGCAUCUAUGGAUUCAUGGGAAUCAGACCAUAAAUGAGUGAACAGAGGCCGUGAUGGGCAGCUGCAGAGACCAGCUGGGAUCUCAAGUCCCUGGGCCAUGGGGAGAUAUGUGUGAUAUAUUUGUAUUUUCAUAUUCAUAUCCUUGUCCUGCUAACCAAAUCCGAAGGAAAAUGUUCUCACUUAAUAUCUUCUGUUGAAUGAACUUUGAAUCUCAAACACAAAAUUUCCAGAAUUUUUUUAAAAAAUUAUUAUCUUGACCUCAGAUUUGUACCUCUUCCUGGCAUUCCAAUGUGAGUGAACUCACAUAUUUAACAAACGUGUUUUGAGUCUGUCGUUAGUGCCAGGCAGUGUUAUGGGCUCUGUAGCUACAGCAAUGACAAGACAGAAAAUAGCAGCAACUACAAUGAACAAUCUCAUGGAGCUGAAAUCUCAGCAGGGGAAACACAGAGAAUAGAGUCACUAGCUGUAAAGAAACAUUUUCAUGUGGCUGAUCCCACCCUAACCAGUUAGUCACCCUGGGAUUUAAAGCCUGUUGCUGACAACUGAGAGACCUGCAUUUCUAUAAUUCUGAAGAAUGGAUUGACUUCUGCAGAACUUGAUGGUUUUAUUCGACUAUGUGUGUUAUAAAUAAUCCCGUGUAAACAGAAUGUGGUCAUUCAUCUUGGCCUCACAAAUGGCUGGGAUCUUACUGUAGGUCAGAGGUCAAACAGAGCAUUCCCAUCCUUCAGAGGAAUUCCCCAGGGUAACUAGACAGCUGAGUGUGAGGAGAUAGCUUUGUCAUCACAUAACCUCCCCACUGCUCUGUUUGUGAUGGAGAAAGAGUAGCAGAGACACCACAGCCCUGGAAGUCUGCCCUGGGAAGGUGGCAGGGAGGAAGGAAGGUAAAGAGAAGGAUGAAUAAGGAUGCCUGGGUGGGGGCUGGACCUCCUUUCCUUGCCCAGACACAGAAUCCUGCCUUUCCACUGCUCUCUAGCUUUUUCAUUGACCUUUACCCACCCUUACCCCCCAUCACUGAGGAGGCCACAAGGACUCUGCCCCAUAAUGACAGCUUGGGAGCCUUUUGCCUGUGCUGGGCCUCAGUCCUCAGACUCCUGUACCUGCACAGACCACAAAUCAGUGUGCUCCCAAAUCAGCUACUUCAGCACUGACACCUCGGCUCUCAUGGUUUCUGACAGAGCUCUGGGAGGUUUCAUCGUGAGUUUUAACAGCAGCAGCCCCUUGGAUGUGUAGGGGAUCAUCCCACAUGCUCUGCAAUGCUCUGUCCUGACCCUUGGGGCUUUUGCUCAAUAGAAAGUAAACCGGUCUCUUUUCAGGUGUGAAGAGUGAUGGUUCACAUUAAUCUUAUUGAAUAGCAGGGAAGGGCAGCAAUGAGUGCUGAGUCCUAUGAGCUUUCCAGAGAGAAGAGGAGCAUGACACACUCGAUCACAGCUGCAGGCAGUUGUCAGGUUUCCAUCACAAGGACAAGCUCAGGGCCUUAACCAUUCGCCUCUUUCCUCUAGUCCUUCUCACCAUGGUGUGGGUCACACACAUUCGUCCCUGCUCAGCUGCCACAUUACUUGCCAGAGACCUCAUCUCUCAUGUGUACAAAGCCACCAUGUCCUAACUGGACCAUCUGCCUUCACUUUGUCCCCUCCUUUUUCAUUUUCCUUGGAGAAGCUGGACUUUUCCUCCUGAAUCUCAAACCAGAGUCUGUGUCUUCCUUCCUUACAACCUCCUAAUGGUUUCCUGUUGCUCACCGUGUGCUGGCCCACGUCACCUCUUGUAUACCUCACAAUAUGCCCUAUUUUCUUUGACUUGUUGGUGCUCACUCUUCUGUGAGGUAUUAUCCCUGUAAAGACAGGAACCCUGUCUGUCCUCAAAACUCUGUAUCCUGAGCCCUCUUCUGAGCCUGGCACAUAGUAGGUGUUUAGUGGACAAUAAAGAUGAACAGACCUUUGCAUUAGUUCACAUGCCUGAGGCUGACCCAGCUGGAUUCUGUCCCUGCUUAACCUGACUCAUCUUGUGUCUGUCUCCAGGGCAGUCUGUUCCUGGAAUCAAAGACUUUCUGAUGUUUUUGAGGCAGUCUGACAAUGCUGUUGCUAAGGGCCUCCUCUGGGGGCUGGCACUGAGAGAACAAAGCUGUAUUCUCUAGAUCACUGUCCCUGAACUGCGUCUUGGGCCCUGGUUAGCGGCAGCACCAAGAAACAUCCACGCAAAUGGUAAACAGAACAGCUGUCCUGGUUGUGGGUGGUGCUGUUGGAAGGUCAUGCUCCUAGGAGACCUGGCGUGUUGCCAUCUCCCUUCCCCAGACUGCAGCACUGUUUGGACCUCCAGGGGGCUGUCUGAAGCCAAUGGGAGUGAUCAGCCUUGUCCUCAGACUGAAGCCCAGAGAUGCUUAGGAAGGCCUCCUUGCAAGACUGGUGGCCUGAGAAUCCAUCCUGGAUCCCUGCAGUCAGAUAUGUACUUCUGUGAAUCAGCAGUUUGGAGGCACUUCCUGGUCAUUGUUGGUACCAGGUCACAAUUCCAAGAAUCUCAUUUGUGCUGCUUGCAGCGCAGGAGAUGGUAACUGGUUUAGCCACAGAUAGACGGUGCAGGCUACCAAAUGAGCCCUGAUUGCCCAGUACUGUGAGAGUCAGGAGAGAGACACGGGGUGAGGGAGAUGGCUCAGUGCGCCAGGGGAGCAAAGCAGAGCCCUGGCCCUCCCAGUGCCAGUCCCUGACUCCCUGUCUCCAGCCACCUGUGCAGCGACUGAGGCGGGUGAGGAGGAGGGGGUGCAGGCCAUGGUGGCGAUGUCUCUAGAGCUCUGCUUCCUGAGCCACACAGAUUAGGGGGAACAACGCCUCUUUCCUGGCCUCUCUUGGAGGAGGAGACUUAAUGCGAAAUGCGAAUCUAUCCUGACCCCUGACUGUGCCCCUCACAUAAGAUGCUGAGUCUGGUUAUUCUUUUUGAGGAGUGGGUGGUUGGAAGUCGGGAGACUGUGGCCCAUCACUGUCCAGGAAACCUGGAAGGACAUGGCUGCUGAACUCAAUGAACAGUAAAGGGAAACAAGGAGACCAGUGUCUGAUUUGCAAGCUGAGGUCAGCCAUGGAUUCACUUCCCAGGCUGCCAGAAAUCCAUGGGUCUCUCUUCCUAUUUGAUUCCUCACUCAGUCAGCACAUGAGGGAGAGUGCUGGAGCUUGGGAAGAAUCAGCCUAUUUGUGUGGUUCACUGGCUUCACUGCAAAUGCAGAAAACCCCAGGAAUCAGGAUGAAGUGCUGGCUGAGGUAAAAAAAUCAAAUAAAAAUACAUAUAUAAAAGAAUUAGCCAACUUUGAGCUUCUUCAGAACUGUGGGUAUCAGAGAGUUUGAGAACUGCGCUUCUAAUACAUGCAUGAAGACAUUGUAUGUAGUUCGGGAUAUAAAUUGUUCCUCAUACCUGAAUCUCUUAUGCUCCACCUAACAUGAGCAGGAAAGUUUUGUUUCUCUAUUUUGUGCAUUGGGAAGUCAGGAAUCAUGUACUCAAGGCUUUCCAUUGAAAAGCACAGGCAUUUUCUCUGACCUCACCAAAAUCCACAGAAAUGACCCGGAGUGUUUUCAUAGCAUCAUCUAACAUCACUGUGUCACUAGCAAAGAAUUGGAAUGACCUAAAAGCUAGAAUACUUCACUGGCACUCAAUUCAAAAUACAAUGAUCAACUAUUACAAUAUUUUAUCCUUUUAAACACAUGGAACAUGACUUACAUUAACUUUAAAUGACAAGGGCGUCAAGGUGCAUCAAACCAGAGGAAUGAGCACAAGGUUUAAUCACCACUGUGCAAAUAAUAAAUAACAGAAAUUAACAAACGCAUCCAAAUGAAGAAAAGUAUGUAUUUUGAUUGCUUGGGAUAAGGUAGUUUAGAAGAGAACUUGGUGAUUUUUAUUACUUUUUGAUUUUAUAUAAUAGGCAUGUAUUGCUUUGAAUGUAACUCAAUAAAAUAAACUUUAAUAACAUACAAAUGAAGAGUUUAUUCUCUUUGCUCUUAGCUCAG